rnacentral:lncRNA from 1 species
ACAGCCAUCAGUGUUGGAACAGCAGAUCCUUCAGCUGUGCUGUAACAUGGUUCCGUGCUUGCAGAUGAAAGACCUGAUGCAGACAACAGAGAUGACGCUGUUCGUGGAGGAAGUAUAUCUAAGCCUUCUGCGCCAUCCUGCUUUCUGGAAGAGACAGCUUACCCAGCUGACCGUUCAGUUGCUGUGCAUCUGUGAAGUCAGCUUAAAGACAACUGGGGAAUGCUCAUCUUUAAUUCAGCUUUUAGAGCGCAGUGUUGAACUUCUUGGGGAGGAUUUUCCUGUCAAAUUGGUCAUUAUUGGAAUAGCUUUAAUACUUCUACAGACUCCAGCAAGUCAGCAGAAGCCAGUAUUGAACCUAA